GACGAACGCUGGCGGCGUGCCUAAUACAUGCAAGUCGAGCGCAGGAAACCGCCUGAACCCUUCGGGGGGACGACGGCGGAAUGAGCGGCGGACGGGUGAGUAACACGUAAAGAACCUGCCCACGGGUCUGGGAUAACCACGAGAAAUCGGGGCUAAUACCGGACGGGUCAUCGGACCGCAUGGUCCGAGGAUGAAAGGCGCUCCGGCGUCGCCCGUGGAUGGCUUUGCGGUGCAUUAGCUAGUUGGUGGGGUAACGGCCCACCAAGGCGACGAUGGAUAGCCGCACUGAGAGGGUGAUCGGCCACACUGGGACUGAGACACGGCCCAGACUCCUACGGGAGGCAGCAGUAGGGAAUCUUCCACAAUGGACGAAAGUCUGAUGGAGCAACGCCGCGUGAGUGAUGAAGGUUUUCGGAUCGUAAAACUCUGUUGUAAGGGAAGAACACGUACGAGAGGAAAUGCUCGUACCUUGACGGUACCUUACGAGAAAGCCACGGCUAACUACGUGCCAGCCGCCGCCGUAA
rnacentral:rRNA from 1 species